GGCCUAUCAGCUAGUUGGCGGGGUAAUGGCCCACCAAGGCGACGACGGGUAGCUGGUCUGAGAGGAUGACCAGCCACACUGGAACUGAGACACGGUCCAGACUCCUACGGGAGGCAGCAGUGGGGAAUAUUGCACAAUGGGCGCAAGCCUGAUGCAGCCAUGCCGCGUGUAUGAAGAAGGCCUUCGGGUUGUAAAGUACUUUCAGCGGGGAGGAAGGGAGUAAAGUUAAUACCUUUGCUCAUUGACGUUACCCGCAGAAGAAGCACCGGCUAACUCCGUGCCAGCAGCCGCGGUAAUACGGAGGGUGCAAGCGUUAAUCGGAAUUACUGGGCGUAAAGCGCACGCAGGCGGUUUGUUAAGUCAGAUGUGAAAUCCCCGGGCUCAACCUGGGAACUGCAUCUGAUACUGGCAAGCUUGAGUCUCGUAGAGGGGGGUAGAAUUCCAGGUGUAGCGGUGAAAUGCGUAGAAAUCUGGAGGAAUACCGGUGGCGAAGGCGGCCCCCUGG
rnacentral:rRNA from 1 species